rnacentral:rRNA from 1 species
GGUUUGCAUGGCUGUCGUCAGCUCGUGUCGUGAGAUGUUCGGUUAAGUCCGCUAACGAGCGCAACCUCGCCGUAUGUUACAAGUGUCAUACGGGACUGCCGGUAAAAGCCGGAGGAAGGUGAGGAUGAUGUCAAGUCAGCAUGACCUUUAUAUCCAGGGCUACACACACGCUACAAUGGUCUGUACAAUUGGUUGCCAAGCCGCGAGGCGGAGCCAAUCCGUAAAGCAGGCCUCAGUUCAGAUUGCAGUCUGCAACUCGACUGCAUGAAGCCGGAGUUGCUAGUAACCGCAGGUCAGCAAUACUGCGGUGAAUACGUUCCCGGGUCUU